rnacentral:lncRNA from 1 species
AUUCACACUAGAGUGUUUCUUCUCUGGACAUCCACGGGAUUGUGUGAUGGAGGUGUGGAUAGCUAAGUUCCUUCUUCACCUUACAGGAGCAGAAGACUUGGUGCCAAUGGGCCGAAUCAUGGAAGGAACAAAGAAGUUUGGAUGGGACAGGAAAGGUCAGGGGAUGGCAGAAGGCAGCAAGGUUGUGGACAUUAAAUGCGAAGGGAAGAAAGUGCAAGAAGGAAAUCCUCUCCUUUUGACAAGACCAAACUUCACAUGCUUGACCUGUAUCUUUCGACUCAAGGAGCAAGUGUCACCUCCUUUGUGUUGGGCAUCAGAGGGAGAGUUCACAAGCCAGCAUUGCCACCACUAAUGCCAGUCAUUCAACAGUCAUUUAUGGAACACUGAUUAUAGGACAGUCACUAUACUGGAUGCCAGGGUUAUAACAGAUGAACAAGAAGUGCAUGUCCUUUCCUUCCCCCCGAGAGCUCUUGGUCACUGUUGUGGUUCACUUUUUCACACUCACCAUCACUACCACCUUUCUUCUCAUCACUUAAGGCAAUCCUGGACAUCUAAUUGUGCUUACAAAGCAUGUAGGGAUAAACAAACAUGAACAUAAAAAUAAAAAUAGAAUCUUAAAAAAAUAAAAGAGUGGAAAAUAAUCACCUGGUGAUUUCAUUAAAAUGCAGAUUUCCAGGUGUAUUUGCAUAUUUUGAUUUAGAAAAUCUAGAAACAGGUCCCAGGACUCAACAUCUUCAAAACAAUCUAGAAGAUUCUGAUGCAGGCAUUUCAUGGCUCACAUUUUGCAAAUACAAUCUUCUGUUAAACUAUCUUGUGUAUUUUUGUCACAUUCAUUGUGUUUUGAAUGUCACAACAACCCAAGAAAGUAAAUGGGAUAGGAAUUAUUAUCUCCAAUUUACGGAUGAGGAAAAGAAAUGCAUAAGAAUGCCUAUUCAACCUGAUUUAAUAUAACUGGCAUCUAAUUUGUUCAAGCUCUGCACUAGAAAUUAUAGAGGAUGAGACACUCAGUGGAUUUGCAUUAGGAGGGUGCAGAAGACAAGCACACAAAUAUGCCAGGUGCCUUCCAUGCUGUUCUAUCUGGAAUCUACUUUAACACUUAUCAAUAUAUACAUGCACAUAAAUGUAUUAUGAUAACUUUAUUCUGUACCCUGAAGGUGGUAAGUUCACUCAUUUACUAAUUGGUUCAUUCAUUUUACCCAAUAUUUAUUGGGCAGUUAUUAUAUGUCUGACAUUAUUCUCGGUAUUAGGGAUACAGUAAUAAAUAAAAUACACAAAAACUUCUGCUUUCAUGAAUUAACAUUCUAGUGGGGGGAAACAGGAACUAGGAAACCACAUUGCCCUUCAUAUCUGAAAAGAUCUACCCAGCCCAGUGAGCUAUAGGGCUGUUUGGUGCCUAUUUGAUGAUGAGUAU